CAGAUCUUCAUCUCGCCGCCGGUCACA
rnacentral:sRNA from 1 species